UGGAUUGUGAUUUAUCCUAAUGGGUUUAGGAUAAGAAUUAAUUAUAUGUUUCUCAUCAGUUAAGAAACAUAUCUACUAGUGGAUAUCUAUUAUAUGUUAAUAGAUUUCCUAAUCCUUAUCCUAAUCUAUAUGAGAUUCAGGAUAUUUAGGGGUUCCGUUAUUCUAUAUAUACGUCCCCUUAUUUCUCCCAUCUGAGACGAUUGAUAUUCGAAUUAAUUCAAUAUUCCAUUAUUCUCUCUCUUCUUCCUCUCUGGGAUCUCGACCUACGUUCCCGGGGUUUUGGAGUGUGGACAUAGAAGAGGACUCUGGUAGCCCUCUUCGAUCGGCAUCCGUCACAUCAGAUCCAUAUCCGAUCCGUGGCGUAAGGCGUACGCGAAGGAGAAGGCGAGAAACGUGGG
rnacentral:lncRNA from 1 species